AUGCACCAUAUUCUCCGUACUUUCAGCGAUGAAGAUGCAGAUAAGAUAGUUAUAAUCACCGCUGGCACCAGGAAGGAUAACGUUGCGUCAGCAACGGCCCGAAGGGCGAGCCGUAAGGCGAGUAAUCCUCCCGGA
rnacentral:sRNA from 1 species